ensembl:lncRNA
UAUAUAUAUAUAUAUAUAUAUAUGCCUACUGUAUAUGGAAUAUGCCUACUGGUUAGCCAGGCUGGAUGCCGGCAUUGAGAUGUUGGAUGUUGGAUGUACCUGGCCAAAGUGUCCACUAUUGAGACAGAUGUUGCAGUACUUUAACAAAUUAUUCUACUUUUUAGAAUUAUUCAUAUCACGUAAGCUUUAUCAUUCAUAUCAUAAACUCAUCAGAUAUUUAGAGUUCUUUAAUUAAGAAAAAGGAAACUCCAGGUUUGUUGUUUUUCACUUUACUUAUUCAUGUAAAUUCUGGUUCUUUAUAUUGUGUCAGAGUUUCAGGAUGAAUGGUCAAAUAAUAAUGCUUUAAAAUUAUAUGGAAUAAAAUAUUUUUAUAAUUACUUUUUUUUCCAUAUCUUGUUAACACUGCUUUUUUUUUGGAGAAAUUAGGUUUUGGUGUAACCUCAAUAAAUAUAUUUUGCUUUAGUGGUCUCCUCUGUAUGACAGCUAUAGUAUUUUAGCCUUUUCUAAAAAAUAAUAUAUUUACAUUUUUACCAUGGCAUUUUAUUGGGUGAAGCUGGAAACUGAUGCACAUUAUAUAGUUCAGCCUUGAAUUAAUCCAGCAUCUGUCCUGUUCUUCAAGGUUCAUGUUCUGGAGGAUCAGCAUGAUGUUGAUGAGAAUUCUGAUAAAAACUGUGCCUGUUUUUAUUAUAACACUGUGUAUUAGACGGUCACUCCCAGCUCCUCUGUACACCAGUGCCCCACACUCUCCAGCACCAUCCACACAGAACCGCCAGUUCAACAUCACACUGCAGUGCAAGGACAUCUGCUCCUCUGGCCAGUGCACAUUCCCUGUUCCAGAUAAAGCUCUCCCGCACCUGCAGAACAAACAAUGUGAACAGGAAUGGUUCACCCAGGAUGGAUAUUUACUGGCUGAUGGAAGCUCUACCUCACCAAACAGAACCCUGCACCCAUUAGUCCUCGAUGUAACCCGCACCAGUCUGACCACCCGAUACUGUAUCAGUGGGCAUCAGUAUGUGAUGAACUGCCACGACUCUAAGGUACAGUCAUAUCCACUAUUAGAGCUCCUUUACUGCUGCAGAUUACUCUAUAAACUUUGAAGUUCUACAGUCACUAUACACACAUUUAUACAGUGUGUUUUCUGUUCCAGAUAGAGUUCCAGACCCAAUACUCAGGUAUGAACUGCUUCUAAUCUUCCUUCACACAGUUCAACAUUUUCUAUGUCAGUAGUUUUAUUCGUUAGGUCAGUGAGUAUUAUAAACAGAUGUUAGGCUUUGCCCAUUAAGCCAGAAACUUGUAGAAUACCAUACUGUUGAAAAAUAGGCUGUUUAAUUUGGUAACUGGGCUAAGGUGUUCUUUAGUGGCAAAGGUGGUUGUAAAGCUGAUCAUCCAGCCAAAAAAUACUAUAUACUGGUAAACCAGCGCUUGACCACCAUAGAAUAUUUCAAUGUUUCAUUUGAUUUUGGUCAUCUUGCUGGUCAUUCUAGUCAACCAAUGUACUGUUUAGCUACCUUGGUCAGCUGACCCAUCAAACACACAAAAAAAAUCAUACCCUUUACUGAUCAAGAGCUAAGAGCUAAACAUUCUGGUCAAUUAACCAGCCUGAUAUGGCUAGGGGAUUUUUUAAAACUAUGCUGUAGUUCAUAAUGCACUUAAUUGAAGCAGGGAGACUUUAGUGCACAUGUGUCCAAAUAUAUUUGGACUAAUAGUCUAAUUGAACAUUAUUUUCUUUUAAAGCUGUGAACAACUCCAGGGGAUACAGGAGUUCUGGUGAGUAGCGCUAACCACUGUAGAUGUAAGCUCCCAUAUUUCCACCAGUUGACUGAGAGUGAGAUAGUGAUAAAGAGAGUGAGGUAAAAAGUGAAAUAGUGCAAAGUAAAGUGAGGAGGAGAAUGAGGAAGUGAGGAGGUGAUUGAGUAGGAGAUUGUGAGAGUGAGGUAGAGUACUGACAGAUUGAGAAGGAGAGUGGAAAGUAGAAUAAUUUGGAAAGAGAAGGUGAGGAAAAGAGCGUAAGAGGAGGAGAUUGAGAAGAAUAGUGAGAGAGAGCGAAUGACAGACAAACCAAGUCUCCCUGAAGCUGCGGGAGUCUUCCGCAUUUCG